rnacentral:rRNA from 1 species
GACAGAGGGUGCAAACGUUUGUUCGGAAUUACUGGGCGUAAAGCGUGUGUAGGCGGCCAUGUAAGUCAGGUGUGAAAGCCCCGGGCUUAACCCGGGAAGUGCACUUGAAACUGCGUGGCUUGAGUAUCGGAGAGGUUGGUGGAAUUCUCGGUGUAGAGGUGAAAUUCGUAGAUAUCGAGAGGAACACCGGUGGCGAAGGCGGCCAACUGGACGAAUACUGACGCUGAGACACGAAAGCGUGGGGAGCAAACAGG